rnacentral:piRNA from 1 species
UGGGUGAAGCAAAAGCUGGUCCUGUGGA